rnacentral:rRNA from 1 species
UGCGAGUCUUUGCAGUAAUGCAAGGCAGACGGCUCAGUAACACGUAGUCAACUUACCCUAUGGACGAGGAUAAUCUCGGGAAACUGAGCAUAAUACUCGAUAGAUCAUAAUGCCUGGAAUGGUUUAUGAUUAAAAUGAUUCGUCGCCAUGGGAUGGGACUGCGGCCUAUCAGCUUGUUGGUGAGGUAAUGGCCCACCAAGGCGAUUACAGGUACGGGCUCUGAGAGGAGAAGCCCGGAGAUGGGUACUGAGACAAGGACCCAGGCCCUAUGGGGCGCAGCAGGCGAGAAAACUUUGCAAUGUGCGAAAGCACGACAAGGUUAAUCCGAGUGAUUUCUGCUAAAGAAAUCUUUUGCAAGUCAUAAAACCACUAGUGAAUAAGGGGUGGGCAAGUUCUGGUGUCAGCCGCCGCGGUAAAACCAGCACCUCAAGUGGUCAGGAGGAUUAUUGGGCCUAAAGCAUCCGUAGCCGGCUCUGUAAGUUUUCGGUUAAAUCCAUGUGCUCAACGCAUGGGCUGCCGAAAAUACUGCAUAGCUAGGGAGUGGGAGAGGUAGACGGUACUCAGUAGGAAGGGGUAAAAUCCUUUGAUCUAUUGAUGACCACCUGUGGCGAAGGCGGUCUACCAGAACACGUUCGACGGUGAGGGAUGAAAGCUGGGGGAGCAAACCGGAUUAGAUGCCCGGGUAGUCCCAGCUGUAAACGAUGCA